GUCCGUGAUUUUAGCGAUCGAACGAUCCGACGCGUUUCACGCAGCAUCGUUUUACGCGUUAUGCACGACUGUUACAACGGGGCAAAUGAUGACCCACGCAACGAAGUUUCGGGCGCGUAACGUGAGAGGAAUGGUCGAACGAGGGGGUGGGGGGCGGAGGCGGUGGCUCGGAAGACGGAGAAAGAUUGCCCUAAAACGAGACAACCGUGAGUAGAUCGCUUUUAGGAUCAUUAAUUAUCCUAGGAAGCGCGAGAACGUGCAGGAUACUGUGCGCCGCGCGACCAACCGGCCAGCAGGGGCAGGGACGAAAGGGAUGCCGAGGAUGACGACGAGGGAGCGGAAUGGAGAGCAAAGGAGACGGCGAAUGUCGCCACUGCAAACCGAAAUUACCGUCGAAGAUUAAUGAUCGCGAGCUUUAUUACAGGUCGAGGAUCAUAACAAAGAGCAGACUUAUAUGUACCUUAAUUGGCGUUACUACCAAUCCAACCGUAAUAUCUGAUAUGAGACUUUUGGAUUUUGCAAUUAUCGAAACCGUGCGAAGUGUAUACACGCUUUCGUCCAUUUAAAUAUAAUAUAAUAUUAUUGCCGUUAUUAACAAUAUACUGCUUACUGGGAAAUAUUAUGUUCGAAUAUUAUACGGUAUUUGUAUCAUGGCUGUUCGGACGGGAUAGGGAGGAGAUUCUAUCGUCAAUAACGACAAUACUUUUUAUCUUCGAUGUAUCUCUCUCUUUGAUCGAUCGAGUGAAUCGCGAUUAUAGGAAUUUGAUACGAGACGAAGCAAAAUACGAGAUAAUUAAAAAGUUCGAACGUGGGACGAAAUUGGCAAAAGCGCUCGAAAAGCACGCACUGCGAGAAAGACGGCGAUAAGGACGACUUUAAACAAAUAGAAACUGAACGAAAGUGGUAAUGGAAACAUGUCCUUUCUCGCCGAAGGGGGCACACAUUAGUGGCAUUCGAAAAAGAGCUUCGAUGAUUCGAAAUACGAAACGGAACGUAACUCUAUGCGAUUACUAACAUUGAAGGUAUUACGUUACUUAACGGACGAAGAGUCACUGCGUUCACGAAUAUCUCAAGAAUCUGUCGAUGAAUCUUAAGCCGUGUUUGAAGAAAUGAAACUUCAUAUAGAGGAAUUUCUUAAUACGGGAAGGAUCGUCCCGACGUCCGGUCUCUGCGACGAUAUUUCAACAGCCCCCCGUCGACGAUAUACCGAUGCAUCGAUUAAGUUUAACCAGAGCGCUUGCUUUUACGCGAGGCGAAAAGAAGCCUAAUAAAGACGGGAAAGAACGAAGAGAAGAGAGACAACGUUAUACGCGUUGAUGCGUACGCGCAUACGUUCGUUCCUUAAAUAAAUCGCUUCGAGUGACGGAUUGGGGAAGAAGAUUAACGAGCGUCGGUGUGUCGUUCGAUUCGAUACGUCGAAUUAACGCAGGACAGCAACGAGGUUCUCUCGGUAUCGGUUAUUAAUGACUCGGGCCUCUGCCAAUGUAAACCUUGCCGAGCGUUUCGCAUUCGUGACUGUGGAAAGUUUAGAUUAAUCGCGACUGAUAAAUGCUCGCGAUACCGAGACGAUGGAUCGUAUUAUAGUCGAAUGAAUUGCCGUUAAUUAUCACCGAUCGCUUAACAAGCGUAAAGGUUAUGGAAUUAAAAUAAAAGCACCGCUCUUUGAACCAA